rnacentral:rRNA from 1 species
UACGGAGGAUGCGAGCGUUAUCCGGAUUUAUUGGGUUUAAAGGGUGCGUAGGCGGGCUUUUAAGUCAGCGGUAAAAAUUCGGGGCUCAACCCCGUCCGGCCGUUGAAACUGGGGGCCUUGAGUGCAGGAGAGGAGAAUGGAAUUCGUGGUGUAGCGGUGAAAUGCUUAGAUAUCACGAAGAACUCCGAUUGCGAAGGCAGCUCACUGGACUGCAACUGACACUGAGGCUCGAAAGUGUGGGUAUCAAACAGG